AACGAACGCUGGCGGCAGGCCUAACACAUGCAAGUCGAGCGGACAUCUUCGGAUGUUAGCGGCGGACGGGUGAGUAACGCGUGGGAACGUGCCCCUUGCUUCGGAAUAGCCUCGGGAAACUGGGAGUAAUACCGGAUGUACCCUUUGGGGGAAAGAUUUAUCGGCAAAGGAUCGGCCCGCGUUGGAUUAGGUAGUUGGUGGGGUAAUGGCCUACCAAGCCGACGAUCCAUAGCUGGUUUGAGAGGAUGAUCAGCCACACUGGGACUGAGACACGGCCCAGACUCCUACGGGAGGCAGCAGUGGGGAAUCUUAGACAAUGGGGGAAACCCUGAUCUAGCCAUGCCGCGUGAGCGAUGAAGGCCUUAGGGUUGUAAAGCUCUUUCACCGGGGAAGAUAAUGACGGUACCCGGAGAAGAAGCCCCGGCUAACUCCGUG
rnacentral:rRNA from 1 species